rnacentral:rRNA from 1 species
GAUGAACGCUAGCGGCAGGCCUAACACAUGCAAGUCGAGGGAGAAGCCCUUUCGGGGGCAGAAACCGGCGCACGGGUGCGUAACGCGUAUGCAACCUACCUUUCACAGGGGGAUAGCCCGAAGAAAUUUGGAUUAAUACCCCAUAAUAUUGUUGGAUGGCAUCAUCUGGCAAUUAAAGCUACGACGGUGAAAGAUGGGCAUGCGUCCUAUUAGCUAGUUGGAGUGGUAACGGCACCCCAAGGCUACGAUAGGUAGGGGUCCUGAGAGGGAGAUCCCCCACACUGGUACUGAGACAGGGACCAGACUCCUACGGGAGGCAGCAGUGAGGAAUAUUGGUCAAUGGUCGGAAGACUGAACCAGCCAUGCCGCGUGCAGGAAGAAUGCCUUAUGGGUUGUAAACUGCUUUAUAUGGAAGAAUAAGGUGUACG